rnacentral:ncRNA from 1 species
UCUGAUAAAGCCAAACCAUUCGCGAGGGUGGGACGGAAAGCUACGGAUCUGAUACAGACUGCCGGGUUGCCAGCU